UACAGAGGGGGCAAGCGUUGUUCGGAAUUACUGGGCGUAAAGGGCGCGUAGGCGGCCUGUUAAGUCGAACGUGAAAUCCCCGGGCUCAACCCGGGGACUGCGUCCGAUACUGGCAGGCUUGAAUCCGGGAGAGGGAUGCGGAAUUCCAGGUGUAGCGGUGAAAUGGGUAGAUAUCUGGAGGAACACCGGUGGCGAAGGCGGCAUCCUGGACCGGCAUUGACGCUGAGGCGCGAAAGCCAGGGGAGCAAACGGG
rnacentral:rRNA from 1 species